CUAAAACCAUUGCCAGAGAGUUAAUGUUUAUGUUCAGCCGGGUUGGAAUACCUAGAGAAGUACUUACAGACCAAGGUACUCCUUUUAUGUCACGAGAGCUAUGUAACUUGAAGAUUAGACAAUUGAAAACUUCAGUGUAUCACCCAGAAACUGAUGGGUUAGUGGAAAGAUUUAAUAAAACCUUGAAAGCAAUGCUCCGUAAGGUAAUUGAUAAAG